rnacentral:rRNA from 1 species
AGAGUUUGAUCCUGGCUCAGGAUGAACGCUGGCGGCACGUCUGACACAUGCAAGUCGAACGACAAGCCGGUGCUUGCACCGGCGGAGGAGUGGCGAACGGCUGAGUAACACGUAGGAACCUACCCCUUGGUACGGGACAACGGAUCGAAAGAACCGCUAAUACCGUAUAUAUCCUUCGGGAGGAAAGCUCCGGCGCCAGAGGAGGGGCCUGCGGCGUAUUAGCUUGUUGGUGGGGUAAUGGCUCACCAAGGCGAUGAUGCGUAGCUGGUCUGAGAGGAUGAUCAGCCAGACUGGGACUGAGACACGGCCCAGACUCCUACGGGAGGCAGCAGUUCAGAAUCUUGCACAAUGGGCGAAAGCCUGAUGCAGCGAUGCCGCGUGUGCGAAGAAGGCCCUCGGGUCGUAAAGCACUGUCAGAGGGGAAGAUAAUGACGGUACCCUCAAAGAAGCCACGCUAAUUA